rnacentral:lncRNA from 1 species
GUUUGAAGUAAAAGCAACAUAAAAUCUAUUGUGAUAUAUACAGUGCAAAUACGUUGCUAUUGGAUUUUUGAAAACUUUCUAUGACAAAAUCGAUAGAUUUGAUAUGAAUAAGAACCUUUCAAAUAGAACGUAAGCAUUAUAAAAACAAUGAUAUUGAUUUUAAAAUCGAUCUGCAGCAACACAGGUUAACUGAUUGUAGAAAUGGAAAACGCAAUGAAAACGUUGGCAAUAUUAAGUUUGACAGUCUUUACAGUGUCUGCUUUCGGUAUUUCAAACAAUACCAGACAGGACAGUAACACAUUCUUUACUAUUGCAAACAUAAAAUCGCCUUUUGUUUGUGGAAUGCUUUGUUUACAGACAGUAAGGUAAGGCAAAUAUACAGUCGCUUUUUGUUUGUGGAAUGUUUUGUUUACAGGCAGUAAG